UCUGAAGUGGAAUGUGCACUCCC
rnacentral:miRNA from 1 species